ACAUGCAAGUCGAACGAUGAACUUGGAGCUUGCUCUGGGGGAUUAGUGGCGAACGGGUGAGUAACACGUGAGUAACCUGCCCUUGACUCUGGGAUAACCUCCGGAAACGGAAGCUAAUACCGGAUAUGACGUACGGAGGCAUCUCCUGUGCGUGGAAAGAAUUUUGGUCAAGGAUGGACUCGCGGCCUAUCAGGUAGUUGGUGAGGUAAUGGCUCACCAAGCCUACGACGGGUAGCCGGCCUGAGAGGGUGACCGGCCACACUGGGACUGAGACACGGCCCAGACUCCUACGGGAGGCAGCAGUGGGGAAUAUUGCACAAUGGGCGCAAGCCUGAUGCAGCAACGCCGCGUGAGGGACGACGGCCUUCGGGUUGUAAACCUCUUUUAGUAGGGAAGAAGCGAAAGUGACGGUACCUGCAGAAAAAGCACCGGCUAACUACGUGCCAGCAGCCGCGGUAAUACGUAGGGUGCAAGCGUUGUCCGGAAUUAUUGGGCGUAAAGAGCUCGUAGGCGGUUUGUCGCGUCUGCUGUGAAAUCCCGAGGCUCAACCUCGGGCCUGCAGUGGGUACGGGCAGACUAGAGUGCGGUAGGGGAGAAUGGAAUUCCUGGUGUAGCGGUGGAAUGCGCAGAUAUCAGGAGGAACACCGAUGGCGAAGGCAGUUCUCUGGGCCGUAACUGACGCUGAGGAGCGAAAGCGUGGGGAGCGAACAGGAUUAGAUACCCUGGUAGUCCACGCCGUAAACGUUGGGCGCUAGAUG
rnacentral:rRNA from 1 species